GACGAACGCUGGCGGCGUGCCUAACACAUGCAAGUCGAACGGAAAGGCCCUGCUUUUGUUGGGUGCUCGUGUGGCGAACGGGGGAGUAACACGCGAGUAUCCCGCCCUUGUCUUUGGGAUAAAUUCAGGGAACUGGGGCUAAUAUCCGGGAGGAUCUCCUGCUGCAUGGGGGGGGUUGGAAAGUUUCGGCUGUUGGGGAUGGAAUGGCGGCUUAUCAGCUUGUUUGUGGGGUAGUGGCUGACCAAGGCUUUGACGGGUAGCCUGCCUGAGAGGGUGACCGGCCACAUGGGGACUGAGAUACGGCCCAGACUCCUACGGGAGGCAGCAGUGGGAAAUAUUGCACAAUGGGCGGAAGCCUGAUGCAGCAACGCCGCGUGCGGGAUGACGGCCUUCGGGUUGUAAACCGCUUUCGCCUGUGACGAAGCGUGAGUGACGGUAAUAGAUAAAGAAGCAACGGCUAACUACGUG
rnacentral:rRNA from 1 species